rnacentral:rRNA from 1 species
GCUCAGAUUGAACGCUGGCGGCAGGCCUAACACAUGCAAGUCGAGCGGUAGCACAAGAGAGCUUGCUCUCUGGGUGACGAGCGGCGGACGGGUGAGUAAUGUCUGGGAAACUGCCUGAUGGCGGGGGAUAACUAGUGGAAACGGUAGCUAAUACCGCAUAACGUCGCAAGACCAAAGUGGGGGACCUUCGGGCCUCACGCCAUCAGAUGUGCCCAGGUGGGAUUAGCUGGUAGGUGGGGUAACGGCUCACCUAGGCGACGAUCCCUAGCUGGUCUGAGAGGAUGACCAGCCACACUGGAACUGAGACACGGUCCAGACUCCUACGGGAGGCAGCAGUGGGGAAUAUUGCACAAUGGGCGCAAGCCUGAUGCAGCCAUGCCGCGUGUGUGAAGAAGGCCUUCGGGUUGUAAAGCACUUUCAGCGAGGAGGAAGGGUAAUGU